rnacentral:misc_RNA from 1 species
GUAAAACCUGUACACAGUUUCCUGUAUGUAAUCAUGUCUGCUCAAUACUAAAAGGAGAAUCUAGCAACCUCUUCAUCUUCAUCGAUCACAUCGUCCUCUUCGGUAAGUCUAUCGUAAUCAUCAUCUUCAUCUUCUUCGUCAAUCUCUUCAUUAUCAUUGUCAACCAUCUUAGUUUUACUCUUAUCGUCCUUCAAACCGGUGCUCAAAACCACUGUUUGCCCCUUGGAGCUCUCCAUAUCUCUCCUCAACUUCUCCAUGUUUUCCCGUCUGCGCUCUUCCUCUAAUCGCUGCUUUUCGGCAACUCUUUUGUCAAGC